rnacentral:rRNA from 1 species
UCCAGACUCCUACGGGAGGCAGCAGUGAGGAAUAUUGGUCAAUGGGCGAGAGCCUGAACCAGCCAAGUCGCGUGAGGGAAGACGGUCCUAUGGAUUGUAAACCUCUUUUGUCGGGGAGCAAAAAGGCCUCGUGAGGCCACAAGUGAGAGUACCCGAAGAAAAAGCAUCGGCUAACUCUGUGCCAGCAGCCGCGGUAAUACGGAGGAUGCGAGCGUUAUUCGGAUUUAUUGGGUUUAAAGGGUGCGUAGGCGGACUGGAAAGUCAGCGGUAAAAUCGAGAGGCUCAACCUCGUUCCGCCGUUGAAACUGUCAGUCUUGAGUGGGCGAGAAGUAUGCGGAAUGCGUGGUGUAGCGGUGAAAUGCAUAGAUAUCACGCAGAACUCCGAUUGCGAAGGCAGCAUACCGGCGCCCGACUGACGCUGAGGCACGAAAGCGUGGGUAUCGAACAGGAUUAGAUACCCCCGUA